ACGGCUCAGUAACACGUGGACAACCUGCCCUUAGGUUGGGUAUAAACCCGGGAAACUGGGUAUAAUACCCGAUAGGUCUCGAUUGCUGGAAUGCAUCGAGAUUUAAAGCUCCGGCGCCUAAGGAUGGGUCUGCGGCCUAUCAGGUAGUAGUGGGUGUAGCGUACCUACUAGCCUACGACGGGUACGGGUUGUGAGAGCAAGAGCCCGGAGAUGGAUUCUGAGACACGAAUCCAGGCCCUACGGGGUGCAGCAGGCGCGAAAACUUUACAAUGCUGGCAACAGCGAUAAGGGAACCUCGAGUGCCAGGUUACAAAUCUGGCUGUCGAGAUGCCUAAAAAGCAUUUCAUAGCAAGGGCCGGGCAAGGCCGGUGCCAGCCGCCGCGGUAACACCGGCGGCUCGAGUGGUAACCGUUAUUAUUGGGUCUAAAGGGUCUGUAGCCGGCCGGAUAAGUCUCUUGAGAAAUCUGGCAGCUUAACUGUCAGGCUUUCAGGAGAUACUGUCUGGCUCGAGGCCGGGAGAGGUGAGAGGUACUUCAGGGGUAGGGGUGAAAUCUUGUAAUCCUUGAAGGACCACCAGUGGCGAAGGCGUCUCACCAGAACGGACCUGACGGCAAGGGACGAAAGCUAGGGGCACGAACCGGAUUAGAUACCCGGGUAGUCCUAGCCGUAAACGAUACUCGCUAGGUGUCGGCCACGGUGCGACCGUUGUCGGUGCCGUAGGGAAGCCGUGAAGCGAGCCACCUGGGAAGUACGGCCGCAAGGCUGAAACUUAAAGGAAUUGGCGGGGGAGCACCACAACGGGUGGAGCUUGCGGUUUAAUUGGAUUCAACGCCGGAAAUCUUACCGGGACCGACAGCAAUAUGAAGGCCAGGCUGAAGACUUUGCCGGAUUAGCUGAGAGGUGGUGCAUGGCCGUCGUCAGUUCGUACUGUGAAGCAUCCUGUUAAGUCAGGCAACGAGCGAGACCCGUACC
rnacentral:rRNA from 1 species